CCUUAGCUCUUCUAUUAUUAGUAGUAGUAUUAGUAUUGUUAUACAAGAACUUGCAAUCCUCCUGCCUCAGCCUUCCAGAGUGCUGGACUUACAGGCCUGCACCACCAGGCCCAAUUUACAAUUUCUUUUUCUUUCUUUUUUCUUCUUUUCCAAUUUCCUUUUUAUAUUUCAUUUUUCAGUUUCCAGUGCUGAGGGUUGAACCCAGGCCCUUGACCAUGCUAGCACCAUGUGUCACACGGAGGGAUCAUGGUUUAUUCAGGGGCUCAUCGGCUGAUGGACAUUGUGCUGUUUCUACCUUAUUGUCACAGAGAGGACGGGAGGAGGUG
ensembl:lncRNA